UGGAAAUGAGGACUAAACAAAAGUCUGAAAUUGAUUUUGAAGACUUAUAAUCCAACUCUGAUCCAAACAUAGAC